rnacentral:rRNA from 1 species
GUAAGCUACUAAGAGCGAAUGGUGGAUGCCUUGACUGGUAAAGGCGAUGAAGGACGUACUAGACUGCGAUAAGCUACGGGGAGCUGUCAAGAAGCUUUGAUCCGUAGAUUUCCGAAUGGGGCAACCCAAUGUAUAGAGAUAUACAUUACCUAUAUAGGAGCGAACGAGGGGAAUUGAAACAUCUUAGUACCCUCAGGAAAAGAAAUCAAUAGAGAUUGCGUCAGUAGCGGCGAGCGAAAGCGCAAGAGGGCAAACCCAGUGCUUGCACUGGGGGUUGUAGGACUGCAAUGUGCAAGAGGUGAGUUUAGCAGAACAUUCUGGAAAGUAUAGCCAUAGAGGGUGAUAGUCCCGUAUGCGAAAAACAAACCUUAGCUAGCAGUAUCCUGAGUAGGGCGGGACACGAGAAAUCCUGUCUGAAGCUGGGUCGACCACGAUCCAACCCUAAAUACUAAUACCAGAUCGAUAGUGCACAAGUACCGUGAGGGAAAGGUGAAAAGAACUGAGGUGAUCAGAGUGAAAUAGAACCUGAAACCAUUUGCUUACAAUCAUUCAGAGCACUAUGUAGCAAUACAGUGUGAUGGACUGCCUUUUGCAUAAUGAGCCUGCGAGUUGUGGUGUCUGGCAAGGUUAAGCAAACGCGAAGCCGUAGCGAAAGCGAGUCUGAAUAGGGCGCUUAGUCAGAUGCUGCAGACCCGAAACGAAGUGAUCUAUCCAUGAGCAAGUUGAAGCUAGUGUAAGAACUAGUGGAGGACUGAACCCAUAGGCGUUGAAAAGCCCCGGGAUGACUUGUGGAUAGGGGUGAAAGGCCAAUCAAACUUCGUGAUAGCUGGUUCUCUCCGAAAUAUAUUUAGGUAUAGCGUUGUGUCGUAAUAUAAGGGGGUAGAGCACUGAAUGGGCUAGGGCAUACACCAAUGUACCAAACCCUAUCAAACUCCGAAUACCUUAUAUGUAAUCACAGCAGUCAGGCGGCGAGUGAUAAAAUCCGUCGUCAAGAGGGAAACAACCCAGACUACCAGCUAAGGUCCCUAAAUCUUACUUAAGUGGAAAACGAUGUGAAGUUACUUAAACAACCAGGAGGUUGGCUUAGAAGCAGCCAUCCUUUAAAGAAAGCGUAAUAGCUCACUGGUCUAGUGAUUUUGCGCGGAAAAUAUAACGGGGCUAAAGUAAGUACCGAAGCUGUAGACUUGAUUUUAUCAAGUGGUAGGAGAGCGUUCUAUUUGCGCCGAAGGUAUACCGGUAAGGAGUGCUGGAGCGAAUAGAAGUGAGCAUGCAGGCAUGAGUAGCGAUAAUUAAUGUGAGAAUCAUUAACGCCGUAAACCCAAGGUUUCCUACGCGAUGCUCGUCAUCGUAGGGUUAGUCGGGUCCUAAGUCGAGUCCGAAAGGGGUAGACGAUGGCAAAUUGGUUAAUAUUCCAAUACCAACAUUAGUGUGCGAUGGAAGGACGCUUAGGGCUAAGGGGGCUAGCGGAUGGAAGUGCUAGUCUAAGGUCGUAGGAGGUUAUACAGGCAAAUCCGUAUAACAUACUCCGAGAACUGAAAGGCUUUUUGAAGUCUUCGGAUGGAUAGAAGAACCCCUGAUGCCGUCGAGCCAAGAAAAGUUUCUAAGUUUAGCUAAUGUUGCCCGUACCGUAAACCGACACAGGUGGGUGGGAUGAGUAUUCUAAGGCGCGUGGAAGAACUCUCUUUAAGGAACUCUGCAAAAUAGCACCGUAUCUUCGGUAUAAGGUGUGGUUCGCUUCGUAUUAGGAUUUACUCCGAAAGCGAAGAAACUUACAACAAAGAGUCCCUCCCGACUGUUUACCAAAAACACAGCACUCUGCUAACUCGUAAGAGGAUGUAUAGGGUGUGACGCCUGCCCGGUGCUCGAAGGUUAAUUGAUGGGGUUAGCAUUAGCGAAGCUCUUGAUCGAAGCCCGAGUAAACGGCGGCCGUAACUAUAACGGUCCUAAGGUAGCGAAAUUCCUUGUCGGUUAAAUACCGACCUGCAUGAAUGGCGUAACGAGAUGGGAGCUGUCUCAAAGAGGGAUCCAGUGAAAUUGUAGUGGAGGUGAAAAUUCCUCCUACCCGCGGCAAGACGGAGAGACCCCGUGGACCUUUACUAUAGCUUGACACUGCUAUUUGGAUAAAGAUGUGCAGGAUAGGUGGGAGGCUUUGAAGCUAGGACGCCAGUUCUAGCAGAGCCAUUGUUGAGAUACCACUCUUCUUUAUUUGGGUAGCUAACCAGCUUGAGUUAUCCUCAAGUGGGACAAUGUCUGGUGGGUAGUUUGACUGGGGCGGUCGCCUCCCAAAUAAUAACGGAGGCUUACAAAGGUUGGCUCAGAACGGUUGGAAAUCGUUCGUAGAGUAUAAAGGUAUAAGCCAGCUUAACUGCAAGACAUACAAGUCAAGCAGAGACGAAAGUCGGUCUUAGUGAUCCGGUGGUUCUGUGUGGAAGGGCCAUCGCUCAAAGGAUAAAAGGUACCCCGGGGAUAACAGGCUGAUCUCCCCCAAGAGCUCACAUCGACGGGGAGGUUUGGCACCUCGAUGUCGGCUCAUCGCAUCCUGGGGCUGGAGCAGGUCCCAAGGGUAUGGCUGUUCGCCAUUUAAAGCGGUACGCGAGCUGGGUUCAGAACGUCGUGAGACAGUUCGGUCCCUAUCUGCCGUGGGCGUAAGAAGAUUGAAGAGAUUUGACCCUAGUACGAGAGGACCGGGUUGAACAAACCACUGGUGUAGCUGUUGUUCUGCCAAGAGCAUCGCAGCGUAGCUAAGUUUGGAAAGGAUAAACGCUGAAAGCAUCUAAGCGUGAAGCCAACUCUAAGAUGAAUCUUCUCUAAGCUCUCUAGAAGACUACUAGUUUGAUAGGCUGGGUGUGUAAUGGAUGAAAGUCCUUUAGCUGACCAGUACUAAUAGAGCGUUUGGCUUAUCUUUAAUAAAGCAU